GACAAACUCAAUUUGAGAGUUUGAUUCUGGCUCAGAACGAACGCUGGCGGCAGGCUUAACACAUGCAAGUCGAACGAUAAACUGGAGCUUGCUCCAGUGGACAGUGGCAGACGGGUGAGUAACGCGUAGCAACCUACCUAGUAGUACGGAAUAGCCCUUGGAAACGAGGUGUAAUACCGUAUACGCCCUUUUGGGGAAAGAUUUAUCGCUAUUAGAUGGGGCUGCGUUGGAUUAGCUAGUUGGUGAGGUAAAAGCUCACCAAGGCGACGAUCUAUAGCGGGUCUGAGAGGAUGAUCCGCCACACUGGGACUGAGACACGGCCCAGACUCCUACGGGAGGCAGCAGUGGGGA
rnacentral:rRNA from 1 species